rnacentral:rRNA from 1 species
UGGAGGAAAGCAGGGGAUCGCAAGACCUUGCGCUUUUGGAGUGGCCGAUGCCUGAUUAGCUAGUUGGUGGGGUAAGAGCCUACCAAGGCGACGAUCAGUAGUUGGUCUGAGAGGACGACCAGCCACACUGGGACUGAGACACGGCCCAGACUCCUACGGGAGGCAGCAGUGGGGAAUUUUGGACAAUGGGCGAAAGCCUGAUCCAGCAAUGCCGCGUGAGUGAAGAAGGCCUUCGGGUUGUAAAGCUCUUUCAGUCGAGAAGAAAAGGUCGCGACUAAUAAUCGCAACUUAUGACGGUAUCGACAGAAGAAGCACCGGCUAACUACGUGCCAGCAGCCGCGGUAAUACGUAGGGUGCGAGCGUUAAUCGGAAUUACUGGGCGUAAAGGGUGCGCAGGCGGCUCUGUAAGUCAGAUGUGA